rnacentral:rRNA from 1 species
UACGUAGGGGGCUAGCGUUGUCCGGAAUCAUUGGGCGUAAAGCGCGUGUAGGCGGUCCGGUAAGUCAGCUGUGAAAGUCAAGGGCUCAACCCUUGAAAAGCCGGUUGAUACUGUCGGGCUAGAGUCCGGAAGAGGCGAGUGGAAUUCCCGGUGUAGCGGUGAAAUGCGCAGAUAUCGGGAGGAACACCAAUGGCGAAGGCAGCUCGCUGGGACGGUACUGACGCUGAGACGCGAAAGCGUGGGGGAGCAAACAGG